AGCUAGAGAGAGAUACGAGAUAGAGAGAGAGAGAGAGAGAGAAUAGAUCUGGAUCGGGUCAAUCAAGGAGACGAAUUUGAAAAUCUCACUCAAAUAUGAAAUUUAAUUUGUAAGCCAGAGAGAGAAGAGAUCUAGAUCGGUAUCGAUAUUCGGAUCGAGAUUGAGAUCAAUCAAGGCGAUGAAUCUAAAAUUUUCAUUCAUACAUAAACUUUGAAUUAUAGAUCUAAUACUUUGAGGUUUUCACCGUUCUGUUUUCAUGAAGCAAUCGGUGAAUUCAAGUCUCUUCUUGCAGGGUAUUUUAAUUUGUAUCCAGUGGCUGAGAUCAAGGCUGCUAUUGAGGUUUCCAACACAUGGAUGAGGUUGUUCAAUAUGGUCUUUGGCGUCGACCUAGUGGGACAACUGAAUUUUGAAAUUUCAUUAUUUUGAGUCAAUUUGUGAGGAACUUGUAGUAGUUUACUUACCUUUUUAUAAUAAAUGGAACCUUGAUAUUGUCAUUUCUAUAGAAGCUUAAUUUUAAUUA